rnacentral:lncRNA from 1 species
UCAUCACCACUAAUCAUGUGUUCAGAGAAAUUUUUCUUGAGUAGUCCCAGAAUUGUGCAUUGUGUCAUGUUGAGAAGUAACAUGCACACAUUCAAGCCACUUUGUACUACCUAUGUUUCUUAUAAAAUGUCUUUAGAUGUCACUAUUUGGCAUAUGGUUGCAACUAACUUGUGGGCAUUUGGUUGUUGUUUUAUAAACCACGACUUUCUUCUCCUCCUUGUUGUGAGCUAUAAGU